GCUCUUUCCACAGCAUGCUUGCCAGGGAGGGCUCACCUGCCACCACUGCUGCUGAUGCAAGGGGCAUGAGAAGAGCGAUCUACUUAACCAGGGCACAUGGAUGGGGCAAGGGGGAGAGUGAAAGCCUGAUGAUGUGAAAGAGUCCCAUCAGGACACCCUCGGUAGGAAGAGCAAAUGGAGCCGAGUUUUCUGCAGUUCUCAUGAGGCAGCAGCAUUUCAGCAGGCAGAGCUGGAGGAGUCAAGCAGCCAGAGUCAGUGCACAAUUAGGGAGAGAAAAAGAGCAAAAUCUCCAUCCAAUCUGCUUCUAGCUUGACAGAUAAUGAAAAACAUUUCAGAUUUAUCCUUUCCAAAUUGCCCAUAGUCCUAUUUCAUAUUCAAGACUAAAGAAUCCGUCUCAGCUAAUAAUUCUUAAACAUUGAAUUCAAAGUACCGUUGUGAAAAUUAAUGGAUAUGUUAAAUGAGCAGAUAUUCAGCUCGUAUACAAUUCAUUGUAAAUUCUGGAAUGGCAACAAAACUACAUCGAUUAGGACAGAAGUUGUGGAUAGUAAAUGUAUAUUACACUAUCUCCCUCAAAACACAUGACUAAUCUAAUAAUACUGAAGUAGUAAAGCAAUCAAAUAAAUUAAUACAUCAGGAGGAAUGAAGAACCAAUGACAGGACACCAGUGAACUCAGCAUGCCACGUACAAAAGGCAUUAGGACAGCUUUGGUUAAGCAUACCAGGGCAAACACUUUGCCACAGAAUCUUUGGUUUUACAGUUUCAUUUAACCUCAAAAUUACAGAUGGGUUGAGUAAUACUGCCAGGAUUUGAAUUAGUGGUUCCAGGGAGACUAGAAGCUAAGCCGCAGGUAGAACUAAGGAGAGUGGUCAGAAAAGGUGUGGAGCAGGCAGAGCAAACAGGAACGUCCAUUUCUGGACCUUAACUUACACCCUCUUGUUUGCUCCUCCUGCACAAUCAUCUUUCUGUUACUGAGAGUCCCUUUAACAAAGUGGGUCAAAUUCAGCUCUGCCUCCUAGCACUAACCUCUUUGUGUUGUACCUGCAGGCAAAGGGCUGUCAUAAAGGAGGAGCUGGCAAUAUCUUGACACCAAGAGCAAUUCAACUGUGGUGUUAUUGAUGUAAAGAUGGUUCAUACCACUUGCUCCCAGUGUAGGCCAGGAACUGCUUGGAUCAGUUCUGAGGUACUUCUUGCAACAGAACCACCCAUAUGAGACAAAUUAAUCCCAGCCCCACAAAGUUCUAAGGGAAAGGAAAAGUUGUCUCUAUUUACCUCUUGCAACAGGUUCUACAUUCAACUCAGCUUCUUUGAGCUGAAGAUCUAGCUAGCUAAGGUGGGCAAAUCAGCAGUUAAGUGCAAUUCUCAUUGCAAAACUCGUUCAUGCAC
ensembl:lncRNA